AAAUGCUGCACCCCUCCCCCCUUUUUUGUUCUCUGCUAGGGUUCUAUACCCAAGCCGCCGCGCCGCCCGUUCCACCAUGCGCCACAGCUCCGAUCGCGACGGAGGUGGCGCCGAUCGACGACUCCGGCGAAAGAGGUAAGCUUCCUUUCCUUUUCUUUUUAUAUUUUAAACGAAAUAAAAAAGGGAAAAAGAAAAAAGACGCAAAUGACGAACACCAAUUAAAUAAGACGGAAAAAACCUUUGUUAAAAAAAAAAUCGAAUCUGUACUUUUAAUCUUUUCUCUGAUUUCUGUUUGUGUUUUUUUUACACUCCAAAUCCCCCCUUUACAGAUUUGAAAUCGGCCUUUUAUAGCCGGAAUGGAGAAGAAAAGAAAAGAAGAAAAAAUCCAAAGAAAUCUAUUCUGUUAUUUGUUGGCCUAUUGCUGCCCAAUUUUUGCUAUUCUGUUCUGCUUUCUCUUCUUUGUCGUAUUGUUUGUUGUCGCAGGUAUAACGUGGCAUGAAGCGGCGCAUGUUGGGGAGGGUCGUGGUGCGAGAUUCGCGGCGGCGAGCGAGGACGAGCGGUGCUAGCUUGCUGCGGCGCUAAGCAGAAGCUAGGGUUUCUGCUAGUCUAUUUUUUUGUGGGCUAGGUUUAGGAUUAUUGGGUUGAAAAGGUCUGGGCCAAUUGGGCCUUAUUACAAUAACUAUUACCAUUCCCAGAAAAAAAAAGCUACCUAUGGAGCUAAUCUAUCAACAAGAUUUAGGAAAAAAAUUUAAGUAACACGAACUAGAUAAGGCUGAGGAUGGUUUCCCGAGUGCCAAGAUUAGAGUGUACUGAAUUUAUAAAAGAUGGAAAUGAAAAAGAAGAUUAAUAAAAGCCAUUUUUGACCGAAAUCUACGAAGAAGAAAGAGCUGAAAAAAAUUCCAAUCCACCAAAAAUGUCAUUGAUGAAAGCAAAAGCAUAUUGGACUACUUACUAGUUUGCAGGUGAUGAUGCCCCCAAAAGAAUGAUGCUAGCCAAAAAAAUUCUUCAGUUGAAAAGGAGGGCAAAUCCGCCAUACUGCUGGUAGAGAAAGACAGGGUAAGACGAAAUUGAAUCAAAGACAUGUCCAAAUCUAUCUGUCAGAAAACAACAGUUGCAAAGUCCUGUUCAAAACAAAUAAUUACCAUAGGGUAUAUAUAAGAACAUCAUACUAGUAACCCAACCAAGUAAAUUGAACAACGGUUUAGCAACAAGCAUAAGAAAUGGAUGAGAAAAUGGAAAUUAAAAAGAAAUAUCCAACAAUGUCCUUAAAUUUUUUCCAUAAAAGAGAUUAAAACGGUAACAGGGACUUUGAAAAGAAAAAGAAAGUUAGGCAACACACAAUGCAAAUUGCUGGCAGACAGAGACGGCCUUACCUUUACAAACAAAUCCAAAGGUAAAAUGAGAAGAUACUUGGUUACUUACAGAGAAAGGAAAGGUGGGGAAGGGGGGGAUGUUGGCGGGGAGGUCAGAAAAGAGAGGAGAGGACUUUAUUAUUGAUGUUGGGUGUCUCUCCUAUGUUGCUCAGUUUUUAAUAAAUCAUCUCUAGUAAUAAGAAUGGAUGGUCCGCGGUCGUCCGCGUACUUUCUUCUUUUUUCUUUUUGUAAUACAAGGUGCUCUACAU
rnacentral:lncRNA from 1 species